CGUACACGUACACGCAACACUACUAAAAGCAGAAACCACUAUGGCGGGAAGACCGCACGUGUUGCACGCUAAUAAUGUUUCCACAUAAUUUGUGCAGAGUAAAUGACUUUUAUUUAAUGUCUAAAAUCUUUCGCGCAAAUUAGCGCAGGACUCUUGUAAAAUAUUGUACACAUUAUUACUUUUGUUUUACAUAUAUUUGCUUGAAUAAAACUGCAUUUGGAUGAACUUCACUCGCAUUGGGAAACCUUUUUUUUUUUGUCUGUAUUAACGUUGGGAAAUCUUUGUGAAUGUGACGCAGAUGUAGGAAUGAUUUUGACAGUGUUUGUUUUGAUUUUAUUUUUCGGUGGGUGGUGAAUUGGGUGGUAAGUAAGCGACUGGAAGCACGUGGUUUUUUAAACUGUCAACUGCACGCGACUAGGUGUCGCUAGUGAAAAUUUACAUUGAAAAUUUGAAUAAAUUUGUUCGAGCUAGAACGUCUGUCUGCGCUUGCUCCAACUGAGAUGCAUUCAAGAGCAUUCAAGCGGGCGUUCAAGUCGUUUGCCCAAUCUAAAUACACGAUUCAAUUGGAAUGAACGUUUUUGAGGAGUUUUCAUGUGAAAUGCUCGUUUCAGUUGAACAAUGUAAACCAGGCAUUCGAGGGCGGAAUUAAAAGCACAGAGAAUUAGACGUACUAUUUAGAACAAAAACGUUAUCGCCCAAUUCUAAACGUACAGUAUUUGACAGUGGCGGUAGUGAGCAAACGUCAAACAGGAGCAAAAACGAUGCUAGCGCCGCGAUUGGUCAAUUGACCAACUACUGAAUGUUUUAAUCAGCCAUUAAAAAGGUGAUCGAUGGGAAGCGUACAAAAUUGAUCACACUUAAUCGAAGAGGAUAUUCUGCAUGGAGUAGUCUUUCUCAAACUUCUUUACCGACCCGCGUAUUUCUUAAUGGGGCUGGAGGUUCGCAAACCAUCAGGUAUCAGGUUUAGAAGGUAUAUAUAAGCACAGAGAUCAGACAUCCAGGCUAGAACAAAUUCCAUUCGGAAAGUUGUGUAAGGAUUUGAAUCUUUACUUGAGUAAGGUUGCAAACCAACGAUGACAACACUAACGCCACCAACCAAACACCAUAUUGCCACAGUCAGUGGUGAAUUGAAACAUUUCAAGUGGUGAAUUAAAUUAGUAUGGGAAAUUAACCGAUUGCAGCGCCACGCUAUUGCCACUUGUGUUACCGAUUUCAAAUGGCCGUUAAAUUCCUUACACAGUUUCGGAACUGGACUUGGAUGUCUGUUCUCUGUGAUAUAAGCCUAUUUCAUCAUUUACCUGAGGAAGAAUGGAACAAGGGAUGAGAAUAAGGAAAGGGGGCGCCCUAGAAGAGGGAAUGAGCGCAUAAGCACAAUCAGUCUAUACCACAACGGGUUUAAUCAGUGCCCUGAAAAGGACACUGUAAAACGCAUAAAUGUAAAGAGAGCCUAAAGCUCAAUGAGAGUAUAUUACAGGUGGGGAUUAAGAAAUAAUGGCUAUGUAUUAGUAAGGAGAGAAAAAUGUAAACACAAACAGUGACGUCACUAUUUGACACGCGUUCUUAUGGGAGCUCGCUUUGGUUGUAGUAGUGACAUGUUUUGCACCAGACACGGAUCUCACGCACACGAGAUAUCUUCUUCCACACCUUUAGUAGACUCUCAUUGUCUACAGUGACGAUUCGUUCGUUGAGAGCUCGUUAGAUGGGCUGUCUCGAUGGUUGAAUGUUCACUGGUUGGGGCAAAACCCAACUAAAAAGCACUGUCAAUGUCAAAAUAGAUGUCAAAACGAGUUUGACGUCUGACCGCCGUCGCAUCACAGCUCCUGUAUACAGAACGUUUACGCAAGUAUGUGAGUGUUCCGUGACGUAUUUCUCGUCACUUGCGUGUGUCUAGAGCAUUUUGAUCAGUUGUCAGUUGCCCCAACGAACGAACACGAUUCGCUAAUCGGAACGCAGUCGUGACCCAACCAGCGAAUCCGGACUAUACCAUUUGCAAACUUACCGGCCAAACCAAAAAGAGGUCCUUGAUGUAUUCACAAAUGUUGCUCUGAUUUUCAUGUUUUCCGUCUGCUCAUCCACUUUUAAACCAAGUACAGAACAUUAUUGGCUUCGAAUCAUUCGCGAGCACUUCUUAGCUUUGGUCCAGUACGUAAGUAACGCGAGAGGAACUGCGCAGGAUGUUCGGAAACCACGCCCGAAUAAAAAAUACAGUAGAAAAACCGAAUGUUGUAUUGUAACAGUACUAUUUAGAACCAUAUUGUUACAAUAAACAACACUGUAAAAAUAAAAAAUACAAAAACAAUAAGAUGUAAUGUAGACACCCAUACAUUGAAUUGUAAAUAAGAUUUUUACAAUAUACUAUACGGGUUGUUAAGUAUCGUAACAAUAUAAAAAAAAAAUUUCUCCAUAUAUAUUUUUUUACAAAACCAUACAUUUUAUUGUAAAUGAAUUGUUCGAAAUACUGAUACGUGAGCUUUAAUAUACCAUACAUUGUAUGGUACACGUAUGGUUUCAAACAAUAAAUUGUACCGUAAAGAUAUUGUUUUUAAUUGUAAUUUCACUGCUGGUUAUAAAUUUAAUCAUGGUUUUGGAAUGAUUCUCUUUUGUUAUGUUGUAUUGUUUUACAUUAGAUAAACCAUAUAAUGUUAUAUUAUCUCGUCAUGUUCCUUCGAUAAUGGCAGUUCUAGCCAAACUAACCUAAACUCGUCUAAGUCUGAGUAGCCUCUGAUUACAUUAACAGUUGAAGCUUAGGCUCCCAUGUCCCACCAGCCAGAUAACUGGGUUUUGCAAACUAAGCAUUAUUUGUGGCAACACUUUGAGCGGCAUGAUGGAACUAUGCCUAGCGCGCUAAGUGUUAUUAGACCACUAAUGUAGUUGCAUGAAGUGGGUGACGAGGUACAUAAGUAUCAUUACAGCGUGCUUAACCGUUAUUGCAAUAUUGAGGCUCCAGUUUGACUGAACUAUGAAAUAUGUACAUAACAACUCAUGAGAAAACUGUCAAGUUCGAUUCAACUAUAAGAUAGGUUAAAAAGCGAAAACGAACUUAUAUCAGAAGUCGUUUCAGUGUCCAGUCCAGUCCUUAUGUUAAAAAUGUCAAAGAUAAAUCGCAUUUAAUUCGGUUGUUGUACAAGGCAAUUUCACAUGAGAGAAGAGGAGAAAGAAUAGUGUUGAACUCAUCCACUGAUUAACGGUAAUCUGGCCUGCGUCUUUCCGGGUUGACCUACAUUCGUAUUCCUCUCAUCGCACUCUACAUACCUAGCCCACCAUAUCUCUUGGAUAUGCAGUCCUUAGGACACCUGGUUUAUCACUUUAUUUAAACAUUUUAUUGACUUUGAAUAGUUGUUUCAACUUAUUCACUUUUUUCUCUUUCAUUUCCUUUGCAAUAAAAAAAGUCACGAACAUCAACAAAACAAAGCACGGAAAAAAUCAUAAACUAAAAUAAAUAAUUAAAAAUGCACGGAAAAAGAUUGUUUCGGAAUAGUGAAUGGUUCAAACGUAAGAAAAACAGUAUAAUAUAUUGUUACAUAAAGAUCGGAUGUAAAUGUAUAGUAGCUACCAAUGUGCAAAGCUUUUAGCGAACCAUUCCAUUACAAUACACUAUAUUGUAGCUGGUACACUGUAUGGUACAGGAAUGGUUUUCACCAAAUACCCUAUGGUUAGUUUUUAUCCGGGCGACCAGUUCGAAUCCCAAACACACAACACAAGAUAAAAAAACAGUAAACAAUGAUUCUCUGAAUGGUAGACCAAUUUGACAGAAUCCGGCGAAAAUCCGCAGGGGUGUAUUUUUUUUCAUGUCGGUAAAGUAGAUAUUCGCCCCUUAUUUUUAUGAUUUGCUGUAUAAUCAAAUCAAUGAUAAACUGAUUGUAACAUGUACAUUUCUCGGAAAUU